UACGAAGGGGGCUAGCGUUGCUCGGAUUGACUGGGCGUAAAGGGCGCGUAGGCGGUUUGCAUAGUCAGACGUGAAAUUCCCGGGCUCAACCUGGGGGCUGCACUUGAUACGUAUGGACUGGAGUGGGGAAGAGGGUCGUGGAAUUCCCAGUGUAGAGGUGAAAUUCGUAGAUAUUGGGAAGAACACCGGUGGCGAAGGCGGCGACCUGGUCCUUGACUGACGCUGAGGCGCGAAAGCGUGGGGAGCAAACAGG
rnacentral:rRNA from 1 species